CAGCCGCCGCGGUAAUACGAAGGGGGCUAGCGUUGUUCGGAAUUACUGGGCGUAAAGGGCGCGUAGGCGGUGUGUCAAGUCAGGCGUGAAAGCCCCGGGCUCAACCUGGGAACAGCGCUUGAGACUGGCACGCUCGAGUUCGGGAGAGGAUGGUGGAAUUCCCAGUGUAGAGGUGAAAUUCGUAGAUAUUGGGAAGAACACCGAUGGCGAAGGCAGCCAUCUGGACCGACACUGACGCUGAGGCGCGAAAGCGUGGGGAGCAAACAGGAUUAGAUACCCUGGUAGUCCACGCCGUAAACGAUGAGUGCUAGACGUUGGGGUCCUUAGGACUUCGGUGUCGCAGCUAACGCACUAAGCACUCCGCCUGGGGAGUACGGCCGCAAGGUUAAAACUCAAAGGAAUUGACGG
rnacentral:rRNA from 1 species